rfam:Erwinia sp. EM595 isolate E_g_EM595 genome assembly, chromosome: 1
AGCAGGGAGUAUCCCGGCCAAAAAAGAGUGAGCCGGCAGCGCCUGUAGCGCGGCCGGCAAUC